GGGGAAUUAGCUCAGCUGGGAGAGUGCUUGCAUGGCAUGCAAGAGGUCAGGGGUUCGAGCCCCCUAUUCUCCA
rnacentral:tRNA from 1 species